rnacentral:rRNA from 1 species
GACGAACGCUGGCGGCGUGCCUAAUACAUGCAAGUCGAGCGGACGGAUGGGAGCUUGCUCCCAGACCGUCAGCGGCGGACGGGUGAGUAACACGUGGGCAACCUGCCUGUAAGACUGGGAUAACUCCGGGAAACCGGGGCUAAUACCGGAUAACUCUUUCCCUCACAUGAGGGAAAGCUGAAAGAUGGCAUCUCGCUAUCACUUACAGAUGGGCCCGCGGCGCAUUAGCCAGUUGGUGAGGUAACGGCUCACCAAGGCGACGAUGCGUAGCCGACCUGAGAGGGUGAUCGGCCACACUGGGACUGAGACACGGCCCAGACUCCUACGGGAGGCAGCAGUAGGGAAUCUUCCGCAAUGGACGAAAGUCUGACGGAGCAACGCCGCGUGAGUGAUGAAGGUUUUCGGAUCGUAAAACUCUGUUGUCAGGGAAGAACAAGUACCGGAGUAACUGCCGGUACCUUGACGGUACCUGACCAGAAAGCCACGGCUAACUACGUG